GGGGAUGUAGCUCAGUGGGUAGAGUGCUAGCCUUACAUGCACAAGGCCCUGGGUUCAAUCCCCAGCACCACCA
rnacentral:tRNA from 1 species